GAAAAAUGGCUCCUCUUCCUUCCUAGAGUGUGACCAUCUCUACCUGUGCGCCCACACGGCUGGCCUGAACAUGAGGCAGUGACUCCUGGCUGGAAGGGACCCCGAGGACAGCAAAUACCGAGAGGAGGCUCACCGCAAAGAAAGGGGAAGUACAAACUGUCCAAAUGGCUAGGAGGGGAGGACGUUGGUUCUGACACAGCCUGGGACCUACUCCUGACCCAGAUGUGUGCCUCGGAGGAUGGGUUUCAGGAAGCCUGGCUGAGGGUGAGCACAGGAGGCCGAGGCAGCUGGCUUGCUUGAGCCCAGGAGUUAGAGACCAGCUUGGGGCAACGUGGCAAGACCCCGUCUCUACAAAAAAAUUCAAAAAUUAGUCAGGCAUGGUGAUGCAUCUUUGCAAUCCCAGCUACUCAGGAGACUGAGGCAGGAGGGUCACCUGAGCCCAGGGAGGCCGAGGCUGCAAUGAGUUCUGAUCAUGCCAUUGCACUCCAGCCUGGGUGAGUUAGUGAAACCCUGUCUCAAAAAACAAAAAACAAAACCAAAAAAAACGCUGGAACCAGAGGAGACCAAACAAGUGCAAAGGCAAGUAGGAACACCCUUCUUUACAGAGCCUCUUCCACCUGCUGGGGCUGGAGCAGCCACAGCCUCAGCCUUAGCAGACAGGGACACAAGUCGUCCAUAGCACCAGGGGCAGCGGCCCAGGAGCCUGGGCAACCU
rnacentral:lncRNA from 1 species